rnacentral:rRNA from 1 species
CCUACGGGAGGCAGCAGUGGGGAAUAUUGCGCAAUGGGCGAAAGCCUGACGCAGCGACGCCGCGUGAGGGAUGAAGGUCUUCGGAUCGUAAACCUCUGUCAGCAGGGAAGAACGGUCACUGUGCUAAUCAGCAGUGAAUUGACGGUACCUGCAAAGGAAGCACCGGCUAACUCCGUGCCAGCAGCCGCGGUAAUACGGAGGGUGCGAGCGUUAAUCGGAGUGACUGGGCGUAAAGCGCUCGUAGGCGGUAUGUCAAGUCAAGGGUGAAAUCCCCGCGCUCAACGUGGGAACUGCCUUUGAAACUGGCAAACUGGAGUGUAGGAGAGGAUAGUGGAAUUGCAGGUGUAGCGGUGAAAUCCGUAGAUAUCUGGAAGAACAUCAGUGGCGAAGGCGACUAUCUGGCACAUAACUGACGCUGAGGAGCGAAAGCGUGGGUAGCAAACAGGAUUAGAUACCCUGGUAGUC